UUCCUACGGGGGGCAGCAGUGGGGGAUAUUGCACAAUGGGGGGAACCCUGAUGCAGCGACGCCGCGUGGGUGAAGAAGCGUUUCGGCGCGUAAAGCCCUGUCAGCAGGGAAGAACAAUGACGGUACCUGACUAAGAAGCACCGGCUAAAUACGUGCCAGCAGCCGCGGUAAUACGUAUGGUGCAAGCGUUAUCCGGAUUUACUGGGUGUAAAGGGAGCGCAGGCGGCGCGUUAAGCCUGGUGUGAAAGCCCGCGGCCCAACCGCGGGACUGCAUUGGGAACUGGCGCGCUGGAGUGGCGGAGGGG
rnacentral:rRNA from 1 species